UACGGGGGGAGCAAGCGUUGUUCGGAUUUACUGGGCGUAAAGGGCGCGUAGGCGGCAAAUUAAGUCAGCUGUGAAAUCUCCGAGCUUAACUCGGAACUGUCAGCUGAUACUGAUCUGCUAGAGUGCGGAAGGGGCAGUCGGAAUUCUUGGUGUAGCGGUGAAAUGCGUAGAUAUCAAGAGGAACACCUGAGGUGAAGACGGGUUGCUGGGCUGACACUGACGCUGAGGCGCGAAAGCUAGGGUAGCAAACGGG
rnacentral:rRNA from 1 species